rnacentral:lncRNA from 1 species
AUCCUUAUUGACAAUGGUGGUCAUUGGAGGUAUAAAUACUGAGGAAUAUGUCAUUUACAGAGAAGAUGUUUGAAAUCUGUUUCCUUUAGACAGCAAAGCCGUGAUCUGCUGGGGAAGAGCUUGUUCUGCAGAUCUUUAUUACUGAUUCUUCAAGCAGCAUGAAUUGAAAAUCUUUGGAAUGAAGUAGUUAGCUCAGGCCAAGCCUAGUGGAGCAUCAGGUCCAGGAUGCACGGGAUCAAGGUCCGUUUUCCGUUCUCACGCAGCCUUCCGGCAUGUCACUUACCUUCCCGAAUUAGUUCCGUUCUGGCUCCAGCCUUACACCCGUGUCGCUGAGGGCAAUGCCUGUGCAGCCGGACGCAGGAAGUGGCCUGUCUUCGUGCCCGUGCCCCGGGCAGCUGGUGCGCGUCCCCUCCAGCCCCGGGCUCCUCUGCGGCGCUGCCAGGUGCCCUGGAGAGCUGAGCGUGCCGGCUCUGCCGCCGGGCGCUGCUGGCACGCAGCCCUAGGGCGAAGAUCAGCCCUCUCUGCCAAACCGUGCGUCCUUGCCGUGAUGCGUGCCUACGUUAAAAAUUUGCAUUUCAAGAAACGUGCAUGUCAAAAACCUUUAGGCUGUCCACUAGAAGAGAGCAUGGAAUGUAGGGAUGUUUUUAGUGUUCGUAUAGCAUCUUAACGUGAACGCUGGAUUUUCUUAUCCAUAAAUGGAGAUGCAGCUUAUUGGUUUGUACUAUUUGUUCCAGCGUGUGAAAGAAACCAGAACUAUACGUUACAAGUUCUCAUAGUUUUUGUUUCUUUUUAGUCAUGCAGAAGGAUGCAAAAAUAUAUCAGAGAGAUACAGCAUUAAUAAAAUAGGAAACUGGUUAUGCA